AAAAAGGGCAUCUGCCGUGAAUGGCAUAGCUGUGGAAGGGAAUCUCUGACACAGUUACGGAAUCGCCAUCAAGAGAUUUCGGAUGCACAAUUUUUUAAACUCGGAGCUGCCAAUGACCGUUGUUCUUGGCGCUCCU